rnacentral:rRNA from 1 species
UACGUAGGGUGCGAGCGUUGUCCGGAAUUAUUGGGCGUAAAGAGCUUGUAGGCGGUUUGUCGCGUCUGCCGUGAAAAUUCGAGGCUCAACCUCGAACUUGCGGUGGGUACGGGCAGACUAGAGUGUGGUAGGGGAGACUGGAAUUCCUGGUGUAGCGGUGAAAUGCGCAGAUAUCAGGAGGAACACCGGUGGCGAAGGCGGGUCUCUGGGCCGAUACUGACGCUGAGGCACGAAAGCGUGGGGAGCAAACAGG